AUUGAACGCUGGCGGCAGGCCUAACACAUGCAAGUCGAACGGUAACAGGAAGCAGCUUGCUGCUUCGCUGACGAGUGGCGGACGGGUGAGUAAUGUCUGGGAAACUGCCUGAUGGAGGGGGAUAACUACUGGAAACGGUAGCUAAUACCGCAUAACGUCGCAAGACCAAAGAGGGGGACCUUAGGGCCUCUUGCCAUCGGAUGUGCCCAGAUGGGAUUAGCUAGUAGGUGGGGUAACGGCUCACCUAGGCGACGAUCCCUAGCUGGUCUGAGAGGAUGACCAGCCACACUGGAACUGAGACACGGUCCAGACUCCUACGGGAGGCAGCAGUGGGGAAUAUUGCACAAUGGGCGCAAGCCUGAUGCAGCCAUGCCGCGUGUAUGAAGAAGGCCUUCGGGUUGUAAAGUACUUUCAGCGGGGAGGAAGGGAGUAAAGUUAAUACCUUUGCUCAUUGACGUUACCCGCAGAAGAAGCACCGGCUAACUCCGUGCCAGCAGCCGCGGGUAAUACGGAGGGUGCAAGCGUUAAUCGGAAUUACUGGGCGUAAAGCGCACGCAGGCGGUUUGUUAAGUCAGAUGUGAAAUCCCCGGGGCUCAACCUGGGAACUGCAUCUGAUACUGGCAAGCUUGAGUCUCGUAGAGGGGGGUAGAAUUCCCCGUGUAUCGGUGAAAUGCGUAUAGAUCUGGAGGGAGCACCGUUGGCUAAGCCGGCCCCCCGGAUCUAAUAAUGACCUCGCUUGUUCAAAACCUGGGGAGCUACCAGGAUUUCAUACCCCAGCGUUUCCCUGGUAUACCUUCCGGGGUUUUUCAUGCUCCUCAUUUCGUCGUCUUUUUUGGAAAAUAAAAAACCCUACCUUUCGUUUCAUGUUGUGGGGUUCACGGACGCCUCCCUGUCUUCCUGUUGCCUGUUUUAUUUUU
rnacentral:rRNA from 1 species